GGGACAGACGGCCCAGACGGCCGGUGCUGGUCAUCGAACCCACCGCCCCGCGGACACCUUCAGCAUACAUCGAUUCGUCUUAAAGAGGGUCCUCGCCGGAGAACGCUGCAUCGUUUAAGAUGCCUUUCCACAAGGACUUAGGGGAGACACCUUGAGAGAACAUCGCUGAGGAAAUUACUAUUUUAGGAACAGAAAGUCAACUUUCCAAAGUGAUUAAACUAUACAGAGGUCUGACCAUCUGGGUUUUACAGCUCCUACCUCAGCAUAAUCUUGGAGGCUGGACUUCGAUUCCUAAAGACGCCACUGAUGGGGUGAGGAAAGGAAUGCACGGUGAGGCCCACUGCAGGGGCCCGCAGAACCGAGGCAGUGUCUGAACAAGAAGAAUGCAAACUAAUCACACAUAGAAACCAGUUUAUUAGAUUGUCAGUGAUACUUUGAGACAAAUUCAAGUUAUUUUCUUGUACUUCAUAUAAACAGAAGGAAGGAGGACAGUUGGAAACUUCAAGCUUUGUUCAGCAUGUGUGCAGUUAGCAUCCACAGAAGCACCAUCGGGUCUGGAGGAAGUAGCACCACAGGAUUUAGGACCUAACUGUUUACAUGCAUCACUGGAGCGGUGGGACAGAGGUGCGCGGGCGCACGCCGUCGGUCGUGAACAACACGAGGUGAUCCGACUCCUCCCACACAGCACAACACAGUCACAAGCAACGAGAACCUGCAAGCACAGCACAGGACAGGAACACCUCGUACCCUGUUAACACUACCGCAGCGACAGCUUGCGAAAAGCGCUUCUCGUCAGAGGCAGGAAAGGCCCUCCCUUGGUUUCUCAAAUUCAGAGUUAUCAGCAGAGUUUACGUCCUAUACACAGCGGACCACCAGCCCACGUGGACUCAUUCCCAUUGCACGGUUUUACGUUCAAGAUGAUCAUGCAGCUGAGUAAGAAAGGCCAGAGGAAGCCUAAGGAACGCCCUUCAGACCAGGCGCGACGGACGCCCUGACUGCAGCCGCUCUGGUGGAUGCUGUGUUGGCACGAGCACUAGCAUCUCCAGCUCAGCCUUCAUGUUCCCUUUCAUCUUGCUCCCCAUGGGCGUCUCAGAGCCACAGACUGCGAACCCAGCAGCAGUGUGCGUG